rnacentral:lncRNA from 1 species
CAGGCACAUACCUAAAGAACAAAGGAAUCUCCAACAUUUGGGACAGUGUGGCUGCAAGGCCUCAGUAGUCUGUGAGUGCAACAAUGUACUGAGAUUGUGGCCUACCUCUUCAUAUACUCUGUGAGGACAACUCAGGUACUGCACCAAGUGAUAACGAACAAUGAACUGCAAUCCACCUUAUACCAGCACUGGCAGCCCAUAACUCAAGAAAUGCAGACCACCGAACUACCUUUGGCGUGACAUGUCUCCAGCUAAUCUUGUGGAUCUGCCACACGUCUUGUUGAGUUCACAUAGCCUGUACUCGCCGAAGGUGCCACCACUUAGCAAAAGUGGCGGUACAACUAAGUCACUCUCUUGACUACCCACACUAUGGAUCAUGGUGGGCUUUACUGAACAUUAUAAAACUAUACAAUUACACACAACAUGCAUGCUUCAUGCAUUUUAUGCCUCAGGGUAAAAUGUCAGAAUGAAAGAGGUAUCAUGGAGUCCACUUUAGGCAUGAAACGCUCU